CCUAGUUAACUCUUUUCUGAGGCGUUUGCAUCUAUGAAAGCAGUUUGCUUAUUGGAAGAUACUUCUUGCCAGCCCUUAUUGGAAGUUUUAGAGCUUAUCCGAAAGAGUGACGAACACAUUUGAAAUGUCCAACAGCUGUCUGCAAAUGGAUUAAGUGCACAAUGAAACUUGCAUUUACGCCUGGCUGAGGGGAGUUGGAUACAGGGGAUCUCCAGCUAAGCCGGCUGGGUCCCACCUGAGCUGGGCUAUGCCAGCACAUGUCCCUCAGCCAGGGCUCAGCUGGCCAGCCCAACUCAGCUGGGAUCCAGCCACCUCAGCCAAGUCUGGCACACGUGGAACCCCCAUAAGACCAGAAAAGGGGGCAUGUCAGAGGUGUGCCAAGGGAGGGGCUGAGGAGACUUUGGCCAUAUCCAACUUGUGUUUGGAGAGCUCCUGCAGCUCCCAAUCCAGGCAAAAGUUACACUGGGAAAAUAAUUGCAAUAGAAGUCAAUGGAAGGGCUUACUCCCCAGUAGGGGUAUUUGGGAGACCAGACUUUUUCUUUCUGGUCCAUGCACACAGCUCCUGGCUGAGCCAGUGUUCAGCCAACCCAGAGGCUCCUGAAUGCAAUUGGAUGUAGCGGAACUUUACGCCAGCUCAACUUACGAUGACUUCCCCUGAAUUGGAUUGCUCUGUAAAUUAUUAAAUGAAACAAUACAGAAAACCAA